rnacentral:rRNA from 1 species
UACGUAGGCAGCAAGCGUUGUUCGGAGUUACUGGGCGUAAAGGGUGUGUAGGCGGUUCUUUAAGUUUGGUGUGAAAUCUCCCGGCUCAACCGGGGGGGUGCGCCGAAUACUGAGGGACUAGAGUGCGGGAGAGGAAAGUGGAAUUCCUGGUGUAGCGGUGAAAUGCGUAGAUAUCAGGAGGAACACCGGUGGUGUAGACGGCUUUCUGGACCGUAACUGACGCUGAGGCGCGAAAGCGUGGGGAGCAAACAGG